rnacentral:rRNA from 1 species
GACGAACGCUGGCGGCGUGCUUAACACAUGCAAGUCGAACGGUAAGGCCCUUCGGGGUACACGAGUGGCGAACGGGUGAGUAACACGUGGGUGAUCUGCCCUGCACUUCGGGAUAAGCCUGGGAAACUGGGUCUAAUACCGGAUAGGACCACUGCCUGCAUGGGUGGUGGGGGAAAGCUUUUGCGGUGUGGGAUGGGCCCGCGGCCUAUCAGCUUGUUGGUGGGGUGAUGGCCUACCAAGGCGACGACGGGUAGCCGGCCUGAGAGGGUGACCGACCACACUGGGACUGAGAUACGGCCCAGACUCCUACGGGAGGCAGCAGUGGGGAAUAUUGCACAAUGGGCGCAAGCCUGAUGCAGCGACGCCGCGUGAGGGAUGACGGCCUUCGGGUUGUAAACCUCUUUCAGCACCGACGAAGCGCAAGUGACGGUAGGUGCAGAAGAAGGACCGGCCAACUACGUGCCAGCAGCCGCCGUAA